rnacentral:rRNA from 1 species
UACGGAGGGUGCAAGCGUUGCUCGGAAUCACUGGGCGUAAAGGGCGUGUAGGCGGUCUCGUAUGUCUGGCGUGAAAGCCCCGGGCUCAACCCGGGAAGUGCGCUGGAAACUGCGAGACUAGAGUCUCGGAGAGGAAGGUGGAAUUCCAGGUGUAGCGGUGAAAUGCGUAGAUAUCUGGAAGAACACCGGUGGCGAAGGCGGCCUUCUGGACGAUGACUGACGCUGAGACGCGAAAGCGUGGGGAGCAAAC